CACUGGUUGGGUUUUGAACAACAAAAAAAGGACCAGACAUCAGGUUUCUUCCACUAACCCUAAGCCUCACCAACUCAACUCUCCAUUUACAAAGAUUAUACAAUUACCUCAGUGGAAGGCCCUUUUACUGUUUCUGAUUGGAGAAAAAUUAAAUUUUUACUGUUUCUGAUUAGAGAAAAUUAAAUAUUUACUGUGCAUUAUUUUCACCUUACUAAACACUGACACCAACAGAGACUUCACCUAACCCUACUGAUUCUAGCUCUCCC
rnacentral:lncRNA from 1 species